CGGGAACAUUGGUAAUGUAGUUCCAGGGUACCUACGCCCCCUUUUGACCCAAACCGCUAGCCAAACUGCAAACGACUACAUUUCCCGACCAAUCAUGCAGAAAUCCAGGAAGUCAGAUUCCUCAAGCUGGUUGCUUAUCGUUGCCAAGUUGCCAACAUAAAACAGAAUGGCAAAUGGGUUCUUUAGAUGUUUUGAAUGCAAUAAGGACGCGCACGAGCUUCGCAAAGGUUACAGUAAUGGGAUCUUGAAGAUAAUAAUAUGUGAAUCCUUCCAAAGGCCUGUGGACAAGUACAUUGAAUCUGAUCAGUCAUUAUUCUGAUUGGUGCCAUUUUAUGCUAAACUCAAGCCUUCACACACAUUCUGUUCAGCAUUACAUUGAAUAUUCACUAGAAGCUGUGUGUGUUUUGCCUGCUGUGUGAGUCCUACCUGAGGUGGUCACAAAUGCAGGGAUUUGAACAGAACAAUGACCCUGCAGACAUCAUUAGAUACACCAACGAAUGGGAAUGUUUGGGAUGGCAGCUCUUGGUGUAUUGCUCAUGGAAAAAGCACAUUAUUACUAUAACAACUCAUGCACUCAUCAACAAACAUGCAUAUGACAAUGUUAAUAUCAAUGUUAUAACAAUGUUUCCAAGUCUGGUUGAAGUGACAAAUUCUGCUUUCUUUGACUUUGAACUGAGCUUAAUGCUGAAAGCCAUACUGCUGUCCAGCUAUGGCAACAUUCUGCUCAUCCCUAUAGUCAUAUGGGAGCAUGACUAUUCCCCGCUCUGUUUCAGCCUCAUCAAACUGUUUGUGCUCACGUCCAACUCUCAGGCUAUCAGAGUCAUUCUAUACUGCAGCAGAAGGCUCUCCCCGCUGGCUGUGUGUGUGGGUCUGCUAUUGGAGACCUGCAUAGCCCAGGCAUUUCAGACACUUCCAUGGAGCAUACCGGACAUCCUGCCGUUCCAGUGACCUGUUUCAGGCCGGUCCUAAAGAACACACUGUUACAAUGGCGCCUAUUAUACCCGGGACCAGAGAGCGGAGGACCUGAGCCCUAGGACCAUGCCUCAGGACUACCUGGCAUGAUGACUCCUUGCUGUCCCCAGUCCACCUGGCCGUGCUGCUGCUGCAGUUUCAACUGUUCUGCCUGUGGCUAUGGAACCCUGACCCGUUCACCGGACGUGCUACCUGUCCCAGACCUGCUGUUUUCAACUCUCUAGAGACAGCAGGAGCGGUAGAGAUACUCUAAAUGAUCGGCUUUGAAAAGCCAACUGACAUUUACUCCUGAGGUGCUGACUUGCUGCACCCUCGACAACUACUGUGAUUAUUAUUAUUUCACCAUGCUGGUCAUUUAUGAAUAUUUGAACAUCUUGCCCAUGUUCUGUUAUAAUCUCCACCCGGCACAGCGAGAAGAGGACUGGCCACCCCUCAUAGCCUGGUUUCUUCCUAGGUUUUGGCCUUUCUAGGGAGGUUUUCCUAGCCACCGUGCUUCUACACCUGCAUUGCUUGCUGUUUGGGGUUUUAGGCUGGGUUUCUGUACAGCACUUUGAGAUAUCAGCUGAUGUAAGAAGGGCUAUAUAAAUACAUUUGAUUUGAUUUUAAGCACACAUGCUGAAAGUGUUCCAGCAAGCGUGUAGUGAGUGCAGCAUUAUUCAACCUGGUGUAGUGGUAGAUCAUGAGUCUGGAUAAUCAGUUUAGUAUAACGAGAAUCACAUCAGAGCUAUUAGAAUGUUGAGACCAGUGCAUAAAUGUGCUGUUAAAGGGAAACAACAUUUGAGUCAUUGGGACAAAAGAUGUCAUGAAGAAUAGAGAAUUUGCAGUUGUAAUUCUCUAUCUCCGUGAAGGAGAUGAAGAAGAGCUUAGUGUAAGCUCAUGAGGAUAGUGCCAGCCAGGUCCAGGAUCACUGAAGGAGGGCUGACUGUUCUGUGCCAAAGCUGGGCUGUAAACUCUCAAUCAGCUUUUCAAAACCCUCUGGAAAAGUUAACCAAGGUUUCAGACAGCACAUCUGUUGACACAAUAAAGGUCAUAUGUGCUUCUAAUCACACCAUAUUUGAUUGCCAGUAAUGUAAGUGUUCAUCAACAAUUGUUUGAUGUUUUUAGUUUUGUGUUCAUCAUAUUUCUGAAUAAAACCAAACUUCAAGGAUACAUCUGAAAAUUCCUGAGCUGUAUUAGUUUUCUGGCGUUAGCAGAACCAAGGGGAUUUAUUGGUGUUAUUUCCCAUUAAUUGCUCAAGCUUUGUGGUGAGCAGUGUGUUUGUGGUCUAUGAAUGUUGGCACAGCCCAGUUGUACAUAGCCCAUUGCUUGUGUUGUAAACUGUCCCACCCCAGCAGCAGAAUUACACAUACCUUGGAUUUGCUUUCAAUCAAGAUUAUGUUAAUCUACCACAAUCUCUUAAACAGGUGCUCAGCCCAGCACAGAGGCAUGUUCACUACAGGCUGCAUUCCAAAAGGCAGUGGUGUAAAGUACUUAAGUAAAAAAUACUUGAAAGUAUUACUUAAGAAAUGUUUUGGGGUAUCUGUACUUUACUUUACUAUUUAUAUUUUUGACAACUUUUACUUUCACUUCACUACAUUCCUAAAGAAAAUUACCUAAUUUCUAGUCCAUACAUUUUCCUGAAACCCAAAAGUACUUGAUACAUUUUGAAUGCUUAGCAGGACAGGAAAAUUGUUUAAUUCACACACUUAUCAAGAGAACAUCCCUGGUCAUCCAUACUGCCUCUGAUCUGGCGGACUCACUAAACAAAAAUGCUUAGUUUGUAAAUUAUGUCUGACUGUUGGAGCGUGACCCUGGCUAUCCGUAACUUUAAAAAAUAAGAAAUGGUGCUGUCUGGUUUACUUAAUAUAAGGAAUUUGAAAUUAUUUAUACUUUUACUUUUGAUACUUAAGUAUAUUUGAGCAAUUACAUUUACUUUUGAUACUUAAGUAUAUUUAAAACCAAAUACUUUAAAACUUUUACUCAAGUAGGAUUUUACUGGGUGACUUUCACUUUUACUUGAGUCAUUUUCAAUUAGGGUAUCUUUACUUUUACUCAAGUAGGAAAACUGGGUACUUUUUCCACCACUGCCAAAAGGGCACUUCAUGCUAGUCAAUAUUUACCCCUACUUCUCCUUUGAAUACAAGUAGCUCAUAUUGUACUCUAAGGGACACACGCUGGUGUAUGAAGUGUGAGUGUGUGAAGAGGAGAUUCAUUCAGAUCUGCCUUAAUUUUAGCUGCCCAGCCGGAUUGGUUGCUUUAUAACGAUGGUUGACCGUUGCUCUCUGUCUGUGAGAAGAUACAGUAACAGGGUAACUAUCUGAGGGUCCACCAGUGUUGAUCACAUGACUUGUCUACGGAGCCUUGACCUGAUAAGAAAACACUUACAUAGCCAUAUUGUGCAAUAGCUCUCUACUUCACCUAAACUGCAAAUUCCAGAAGCUUUGCUUCUUAGUUUUCAGUAUGAGACAAUAACAAUGUUACCUUCAGCUGUACAUAUAAACUCAGCAAAAAAAUAAACAUCCUCUCACUGUCAACUGCA